GUUAUAUGGUCAAGCGACUAAGCGCAUACGGUGGAUGCCUUGGCAGUCAGAGGCGAUGAAGGACGUAGUAGCCUGCGAAAAGCUUCGGGGAGUCGGCAAACAGACUGUGAUCCGGAGAUGUCCGAAUGGGGAAACCCACUCAGUGUAAGCUGGGUAUUCUUAACUGAAUCCAUAGGUUAAGAAGGCGAACGAGGGGAACUGAAACAUCUAAGUACCCUCAGGAAAAGAAAUCAAUUGAGAUUCCCUCAGUAGCGGCGAGCGAACGGGGAACAGCCUGCAAGUGAUAGCAGUGCGGUUAGUGGAACGGUCUGGAAAGUCCGGCGAUAGAGGGUGAUAGCCCCGUACACGAAAACCGCGUUGUGAUACUGAGCUUGCGACAAGUAGGUCGGGACACGUGUUAUCUUGACUGAAGAUGGGGGGACCAUCCUCCAAGGCUAAAUACUCCUGACUGACCGAUAGUGAACCAGUACCGUGAGGGAAAGGCGAAAAGAACCCCGGAGAGGGGAGUGAAAUAGAUCCUGAAACCGUAUGCGUACAAGCAGUGGGAGCCCGACCACUCAAUCACUUUGGUGAUUGAAGAGUGAUUGAGUGGUCGGGUGACUGCGUACCUUUUGUAUAAUGGGUCAGCGACUUAUUGUUUGUAGCGAGCUUAACCGCAUAGGGGAGGCGUAGGGAAACCGAGUCUUAAUAGGGCGACCACAGUUGCAGGCAAUAGACCCGAAACCGGGCGAUCUAUCCAUGGCCAGGCUGAAGGUUGGGUAACACUAACUGGAGGGCCGAACUCACUAAUGUUGAAAAAUUAGGAGAUGAGCUGUGGAUCGGAGUGAAAGGCUAAUCAAGCCCGGAGAUAGCUGGUUCUCCUCGAAAUCUAUUUAGGUAGAGCGUCGUGUCUUACCCUGGGGGGUAGAGCACUGUUUGGGCUAGGGGGUCAUCCCGACUUACCAACCCCAUGCAAACUCCGAAUACCCAGGAGUACAAUCACGGCAGGCAGACGGCGGGUGCUAACGUCCGUCGUCGAGAGGGCAACAACCCAGACCGCCAGCUAAGGUCCCCAAUACCAGUUAAGUGGGAAACGAUGUGGGAAGGCUUAGACAGCUAGGAGGUUGGCUUAGAAGCAGCCAUCCUUUAAAGAAAGCGUAAUAGCUCACUAGUCGAGUCGGCCUGCGCGGAAGAUUUAACGGGGCUAAACUGGUAACCGAAGCUGCGGAUGCGUGCAUUUCACUUAAACCUAUUCAAGACGCUUGUCGUCAGCUGCCGAAGGCAGGUGACGACCAAGCCCCCGAACGUUGAAUCGGCCGGGGUCUUGGUAGAGGACAUUAAUUUGCGAAGCAAAUUAUUGACUUGAAUCCAGGAGCGUAGCGAGUGGGUUUAAGGAAAUGCACGCAUGGUAGAGGAGCGUUCUGUAAGCCGUUGAAGGUGAAUCGUGAGGUUUGCUGGAGGUAUCAGAAGUGCGAAUGCUGACAUGAGUAACGAUAAGGGGGGUGAAAAACCUCCCCGCCGGAAGAUCAAGGUUUCCUGCGCAACGCUAAUCGGCGCAGGGUGAGUCGGCCCCUAAGGCGAGGGCGAAAGCCGUAGUCGAUGGGAAACGGGUUAAUAUUCCCGUACUUUUUCAUAAUGCGAUGGGGGACGGAGAAGGCUAGGCCAGCGCGGCGAUGGUUGUCCGCGUUUAAGGUUGUAGGCUGGUUGCUUAGGUAAAUCCGGGCGACUAAGGUCGAGAACUGAUGACGAGUGUCACUGCGAGGUGACGCGAAGUGGUUGAUGCCCUGCUUCCAGGAAAAGCCUCUAAGCUUCAGUUAUGAAGGAACCGUACUGUAAACCGACACAGGUGAUCAGGUAGAGAAUACCAAGGCGCUUGAGAGAACUCGGGUGAAGGAACUAGGCAAAAUGGUACCGUAACUUCGGGAGAAGGUACGCCGGUUUGGGUGAAGGGACUUGCUCCCCUAGCCUGGGCUGGCCGAAGUGACCAGGUGGCUGCGACUGUUUAUUAAAAACAUAGCACUGUGCAAACACGAAAGUGGACGUAUACGGUGUGACGCCUGCCCGGUGCCGGAAGGUUAAUUGAUGGGGUUAGCUUCGGCGAAGCUCUUGAUCGAAGCCCCGGUAAACGGCGGCCGUAACUAUAACGGUCCUAAGGUAGCGAAAUUCCUUGUCGGGUAAGUUCCGACCUGCACGAAUGGCGUAACGAUGGCCACACUGUCUCCACCCGAGACUCAGUGAAAUUGAAAUCGCUGUUAAGAUGCAGUGUACCCGCGGCUAGACGGAAAGACCCCGUGAACCUUUACUAUAGCUUCACACUGGACUUUGACCUUACUUGUGUAGGAUAGCUGGGAGGCUUUGAAGCGUUGGCGCUAGCCAGCGUGGAGCCAACCUUGAAAUACCAGCCUGGUAAUGUUGAGGUUCUAACUCAGAUCCGUGAUCCGGAUCGAGGACAGUGUGUGGUGGGUAGUUUGACUGGGGCGGUCUCCUCCUAAAGAGUAACGGAGGAGCACGAAGGUGCGCUAAUCACGGUCGGAAAUCGUGAGGUUAGUGUAAAGGCACAAGCGCGCUUGACUGCGAGUCUGACAAGACGAGCAGGUACGAAAGUAGGUCUUAGUGAUCCGGUGGUUCUGUAUGGAAGGGCCAUCGCUCAACGGAUAAAAGGUACUCCGGGGAUAACAGGCUGAUACCGCCCAAGAGUUCACAUCGACGGCGGUGUUUGGCACCUCGAUGUCGGCUCAUCACAUCCUGGGGCUGAAGCCGGUCCCAAGGGUAUGGCUGUUCGCCAUUUAAAGUGGUACGCGAGCUGGGUUUAGAACGUCGUGAGACAGUUCGGUCCCUAUCUGCCGUGGGCGUUGGAGAAUUGAGGGAAGCUGCUCCUAGUACGAGAGGACCGGAGUGGACGAACCUCUGGUGUUCGGGUUGUCACGCCAGUGGCAUUGCCCGGUAGCUACGUUCGGACAGGAUAACCGCUGAAAGCAUCUAAGCGGGAAGCCCCUCCCAAGAUAAGUUCUCCCUGGGGACGUUGAUCCCCCUGAAGGGCCGUUGAAGACUACAACGUUGAUAGGCUGGGUGUGGAAGCACGGUAACGUGUUGAGCUAACCAGUACUAAUUGCCCGUGAGGCUUGACCAUAUAACCAAG
rnacentral:rRNA from 1 species